AUACGGAGGGUGCGAGCGUUAAUCGGAAUUACUGGGCGUAAAGCGUACGUAGGCGGUUCGUUAAGUCAGAUGUGAAAGCCCCGGGCUUAACCUGGGAACUGCAUUUAAAACUGGCGGACUAGAGUUGAGUAGAGGGGAGUGGAAUUUCAGGUGUAGCGGUGAAAUGCGUAGAGAUCAGAAGGAACACCAGUGGCGAAGGCGACUCCCUGGACUCGAACUGACGCUGAGGUACGAAAGCGUGGGUAGCAAACGGGAUUAGAAACCCUUGUAGUCC
rnacentral:rRNA from 1 species